UUUAGGAGAGGAGCCGGCUGUGCGCAUUUGGGUAGAUCGGGCACUUCCCCAAGCUUCUCUUCCCUUUGCUGUAAAAUCAGAGCUUGGAGCAGACCAUUGAAGGGCCCUGAUAUCCGGCCAGUCUCCACCACCAGGCAGGGAAAGCUAGUGCCAGGCAAGUUAAUGUGAUGCUGCCCAAGUUAGAAACCCUAGGGGUCGUUCCUGAUUCCUCCUUCCUGAUCAUUCCCCACUAACCCAUGAAUGCCAUUUCUUAAUGAGCUCCUUACCCAGCUCAAUAAACGGUCGCCGAAAUGAAAUGAACCUGCCAGAUCCAAAUGGCUCCUCGUUCUGUCUCCUCUACGCUCCUAACGAGCUCUAGAAGCUGCUGCACCUUUUCCACGCAACUGCCUCGGCUCAACGCUGUCUCCCGCCAGGACCGCGGCGGCAAUUUCCUCUCCAGCCUCCGCUGUGUUGCCUCCAGCUUGCUGGUGUCUUUCUCACUCUGAGACCAUCCUCCGCACAGCCACGGGGGAUGAAGGGGACAGGAAAUCACCCAUGGCCCACGGAGGGCAGCGUCCCUCAGAAAGGGAAAAGACAAGGCCACCCCAGAAUUGAUGAAGGACUUAAAACUAAAGCUGCCUGGCCCUGCAGGGACAUGCGGGAGAAGGAGGGGAUUCUGGAUCUGCAGAGGGGCAGUGAGACCCGCGACCAGAUCAGGCUGAGUUGCUCCAGACACGCCGCUGCCUCUAGAGGGCGCUGUGCUUCCUCAGCGCAUUCUUCCAUGGGGAAGCCCAGGCCCCGCCUCCCCUCCCCUCCAGCCCUUGGGUGGAUACCGAGGAAGGUGGGCUCAAGGGCGACUGUGGCUAUAGCAACGUGGCUAGUCCACCUUGAGGGUAUGUUGUAAGGGUAAAAUACAAACUGGAUUUUGAAGACAUAGCAUGAAGAAAAAGUCACAUUCGCGAUUCAUUUUUUUAUAUUAAUUACAUAUUGAAAAUAUAACAUUUUGGAUAUGCUGUGUUAAAGAAAAUGUAUCAUUACAAUUCA